rnacentral:lncRNA from 1 species
GCCAAACUCGUUUAAAUUGCAAUUCCGUCUCCCGAUUACAUAUAGUACUUCUGAAAACGCAUAACAACCUGAGUAGCAGACUAACACACCGAAAUACUUAACCAAUUCACUUAUUUGCCCAAGAGGAAAAAUCAGACCUAAAGAAGGAACUGGUUCUCCAAUUUAGAAAGAGGUUGGUGCCACAUCCGGUGUCUAACCCACGCUAUGCUGUUGCACUAAAGUCGGGCAACCAUUCCAAUCUGCUCAUCAAUAACUAGUCCCAGAGCUCCACACACAUGAAACCCCACCGUCUAAGGUAACCGACUCGGCUAGGGUUCCAUGUUUUAAGUCUUCUCAAGCCGAAUCGCCGAUGGCAAGGUUACCAAGCUGGUCAGUUGGAGGAGAUGGGACAGCUUGAGCCAUACGCAAGACAUCCAUGGCUUCAGCUACCUUAGCCUUCAAGGCUUCGGGCGACUCAAUUAAAUGCAAAACUUCAGUUUGAUCCAUCUCCAGGAGCAUGCCCGUCACCUUGCCAGCAAAAUCAUGCUCCAGCUGGUCCACCAGAGGGUAAAGCUGCUCACCAAGCAUCUGAGAAAACACGAGAGCGAGUGCAUUUGCUUAAUAUUUAUAGUAAAAGUGAAAGUUCCAACAAAAGAAAAUGUGAAGAAAAAACACGAACUUCCUUGGCACACUAAGUAAAGAAACAGAAAAGUCGAGAAAAUUACAGCACGCUGUUGCUCAGGUGGGGCAGAAGCCAAAGCAGAAGCAAGCGCACUGAUUGGCAGAGGCUGCUGAGGAACGCCAGCAUCAGCAUUAGCCACUGGCACACCUCCAAUUUCAAUGGGAACAGGAAGCAUAGCACCCAUGAUACCCUGAGGAGGAACAGCGACAUCUGGAGUGUUCCUCGCAUUAGUAGUAUAUCGGAAGUUCCGGUUACCACCCCGUUGAAUCAUCUACACCAUCAACAAUCACAACACACAUGUACAAGUUUAGGAGACAAGCAAGUUCUGCAUGAGCAAAAAGUACUCUAAAAACUCGUCACCAGUAGUUAUCAUUUACAAGUUCGGACCAUCAAGGACGAACUAAAUCUGAGCAACCGACAGAGAGGAUGAUCAAUACUUGCUGCUGAGGCUGUUGCUGCUGAGGUGCCCCGCCACGCCUGCCUCCAGCACGCUGUCCUUGCUGUCCCUGCCUGAGGGGGGGGACAUUAGGAAAUCCCAUGUAGUUUGGAAACUGGGCCCCACCAGGUCUGAUCAACUGAGGCUGGUAUCCGAACGCG